rnacentral:tRNA from 1 species
AUUUANNUAGUUUAUUAAAAUAUUGAUUUGUGGGAUCGAAGAUGUAGGAUUUACUUUAAAUA